rnacentral:snRNA from 1 species
ACUCAUACCUGGCAGGGGAGAUACCAUGAUCAUCAAAGUGCUCAUCUAUUGCACUUUGGAUGUGCUGACUCCUGUGAUUUCCCCAAAUGUGAGAAAAUCAACUGCCUAAGUGGGGGAAUGUGUUUGUGGUUUCCCCUG